GGCAUGGAAGACUCUGAGGCUGCCUGGGAGCACACCACAUGUGCUUGGGGUCAGCCCUCGCAGUGGGCAGCUGGGGAAAGAGUCUCAGGAGGAGAGCCUGGGGCUGGCCAAAGCAUCCCAAAAAACUGCAGUGGGUAUUUUCUGUAUGGCUUUUUCGCUUGCAUGGUUAUUCAGUUCUGUCUAAGCUCUUUGCAAAGGAGGUGAAGUGGAGGGAAAAGAAAAAAAAACAAUGGUCCUUGUUUCUAAUGGUAGUGCUUAAAAAUAAUAUAAAACCAUCCUCAGUGGCCAAACCACAGAAAUUGCCAUGCAGAUCCAAGAGCAGGUGUGCCUCCUGGAGCUAUUGGAACAGCAUCAGAAACCUGCUGGAUCCCUGCUAGAAAGUGUCCUUUUAAUUCUUGGUCAAAUUCUGCUCCAAAUGUGGUUGAAAGCAAGACUGCUAUUUACUUUAAUGCUCACCAGCUUUCAUCUGUUGUUUUUGGAAUAAACUGAGUUCAGACGUGAGAAGUGCAGUGUGCUGCUGUUAAGAUGGCAAGUUGGUGCUGUGCUGGGAGAGGAUGGGAACGAGCCGCUUGGUACAUUCGGGUCCAAGGGACAAGGCCUUUGAGGAGUGAGACGUGGCAAAUGAUACUCCUGGUCUUAUCAGCAUGAAGUUGAGGAUAUGGCUUUCCAUCCUCCCCUCUUUUUCCUUAAUUUCACUUCAGCUCUGGAGGAUCCAUCCCCGUGCCUGCAGCUGAGGAUGUGACCAAGCUAGCAAAGCAGCUCUGCCACUGGGUUCCUGCUCUACCCUGGUGCUACAUGUGGCCUCCACCAGCAUGGAUAGGUGCUCAUGCUUAGCUGGCCAAUGGAGCAGGGCUUUAAACUCCACCAACGUGAUGCCGACCAGGUAGGGGUUCAGGCAUUUCUAAUGCUGUGGAAAUCACUCAAUUCCAUCAAUAGUAGUAGGCUGGCUCAGUGUGUUCUUUUAUUGCUACAUAAAUACGGAAAGAACAAGUUCUGUUGUGCACAUGGGCACAUACGGGGUGUAUAUCUUAACUCAAUUUCAUAGCCAUACAGUCAGUUUUUUCUGGGCCAGCAUGGAUAUGAGGUGGUAACUCUCAUUUAAUGCAAACUUCCAAACCUUCCAUCGUUCUUUUCUCAAUUCAUACCUAUCAAAAACUUCCACAUAAAUAAUUGACCUAUUAUUCAGUGGGAGAACUCCUCUCCCUCCCACUUUCCUCCCCCCUGUUUCCCAAACCAUUCCCUCUCACUUAAAGCCUUCCAAAACAUUUGAGACUUGAUAGUCCAGCAUGCCAAGCACCCUGGCCCUGAUUCAGUAGAGCACUUAAACUGGUAAUAAUUUCAUUUGAAGUCAAUGAAAUUAUUUGCAUGCUUCAGUUGCUUUGGAGUCAAUUACUCCAUAUUCAGCUGGGUGGAGCCCAUCCAGUCC
ensembl:lncRNA